rnacentral:ncRNA from 2 species
CUCUUAUUAAGAGAGGUGGAGGGAAGUGCCCGAUGAAACCCAGCAACCGUCAUGUAAAUGAAAUGGUGCCAAAUCACUCAAAGCGUAAAAAAUGCUUUGGAAAAUGAGAG